CAAAGUUCCUGAUCUUUUAGCUGUCAGCCGCAGGUAUGUGAAAGUCCUGACAGGCUGGAGAUAGAAGGAAGAGAUAAAGCAAAAGAGGAGAAAAGAAAACGGAGAAAUUCUCUGAAUGAAAUGUUAUAUCGUUGCAUUUGGCGCAGAGAUUUCAGUGUGAGGGGUCUGCAGGGCUAGCAGAGGUGUGAGCGAGGCCCAGGGCUUUUGCCUUUCCAAAUGAGCGAGCAGCAGCUGGUACCGAGCAGCCAAGGACAGAUGCUGCUCUUAGUUACACCCGUGGAUAAAGCGAGCAGGGGAACAGAGAGCAGAAUAAGGCUAAAUCACACUCAGACAUCUUUCCAGUGAGUGCAGUCAGUUCUAGGCCGUGCGACACUGGGGGGGUGGAACUGUUUUUAGCAAACAGUAGCUGGCACAUUGCAAUUAGCACCUUGCAGCUGCUGUCAGGUGAGAUCCUGAUGGUAAUUAGGGAGAUUGCCUAAUUGAGAUGGGGAGGGAAGCACUGAAGAAGAGGAGGGCAGGGAGCAAGGCUCCUUGUUCCUUGUGGGAAGGCUGUGCUUAGUGCUACCAGGCCCCGGUGCUGCCCUGCACUGGACCAGGGGUGACAAGGAUGAGCUGGUCUCGUUCUUCCCAGCUCCUGGUGCUGUGCUGGUGGCUGGGUUUGCAUGGAGCCUGUACGUGACCUGUUGCUCAGCUUCUGAAUGUGUGCUCGGAGGGUUUGUCACUGCUCAGCUGAUGCACAGCAGCUUGCAAGCAGAGGGAGCUGCACUGUGAGUCUGUCCUUGGCAUCCGAGCUGCCCCUCGCACUCAUCUUGGGUGAAUGACUUUGUUCUGCUGAGGUAUUCCUCUUCUGCCUGCAGUGAGCACACCUCUCCUGAGUUUGGUCUGCCCACAGGUGGUCCCAGAAGAGGGCAAAGAAAGGGAGAGGAAUGGGUGAGCUCUUCCUAACCCAGGCUAAUAGCACAUCUGCACCACAAGCCUGACUCGGGCUCAGGCUCAGGUCUGCUAU
rnacentral:lncRNA from 1 species